UACAGAGGUCUCAAGCGUUGUUCGGACUCAUUGGGCGUAAAGGGUGCGUAGGUGGCGAUGUAAGUCGGGUGUGAAAUCUCCAAGCUCAACUUGGAAACUGCACUCGAUACUGCGUCGCUCGAGGACUGUAGAGGGCAUUGGAAUUCACGGUGUAGCAGUGAAAUGCGUAGAUAUCGUGAGGAAGACCAGUGGCGAAGGCGAAUGCCUGGGCAGUUCCUGACACUGAGGCACGAAGGCCAGGGGAGCAAACGGGAUUAGAUACCCCGGUAGUCCUGGCAGUAAACGGUGCACGUUUGGUGUGGGAGGAUUCGACCCCUUCCGUGCCGGAGCAAACGCGUUAAACGUGCCGCCUGGGGAGUACGGUCGCAAGAUUAAAACUCAAAGAAAUUGACGGGGACCCGCACAAGCGGUGGAGUAUGUGGCUUAAUUCGAUGCAACGCGAAGAACCUUACCUGGCCUUGACAUGCAUCUCUAAUCCGGUGAAAGCCGGUGAGUGUAGCAAUACACAAUUUGCACAGGUGCUGCAUGGCUGUCGUCAGCUCGUGUCGUGAGAUGUUGGGUUAAGUCCCGCAACGAGCGCAACCCCUGUGAACUGUUGCCAUGGAGACGUGAGUCUCCGGCACUCUGUUCAGACUGCCCUGUUCAACGGGGAGGAAGGUGGGGACGACGUCAAGUCAGUAUGGCCCUUACGGCCAGGGCUGCACACGUACUACAAUGCCCGAAACAGAAGGAUCCGAGACCGCGAGGUGGAGGAAAUCACGAAAUUCGGGCCCAGUUCGGAUUGGAGGCUGCAACUCGCCUCCAUGAAGCCGGAAUCGCUAGUAAUGGCGCAUCAGCUACGGCGCCGUGAAUACGUUCCCGGGUCU
rnacentral:rRNA from 1 species